UACGGGGGGGGCGAGCGUUGUUCGGAAUUACUGGGCGUAAAGGGUUUGUAGGUGGUCUGCUAAGUCAGACGUGAAAUCCCUCAGCUUAACUGGGGAACUGCGUCUGAUACUGGCGGACUUGAGGACAGGAGAGGAACGCGGAAUUCCAGGUGUAGCGGUGAAAUGCGUAGAUAUCUGGAGGAACACCGGUGGCGAAGGCGGCAUCCUGGACCGGUAUUGACGCUGAGGCGCGAAAGCUAGGGGAGCAAACGGG
rnacentral:rRNA from 1 species